UUGGACAAAUAGACGCCCAUUUGCAUCUUUCUCCUUUUCUUUUUCUUUUUGAUCUUUCGGAUAGUCUGUCUCCUUCUCCGU
rnacentral:ribozyme from 11 species